AUCUUGCGCAAUGGGCGAAAGCCUGACGCAGCGACGCCGCGUGAGUGAUGAAGGCCUUCGGGUUGUAAAGCUCUGUGGGGAGAGACGAAUAAGUGCAAGCUAAUACCUUGCAUGAUGACGGUAUCUCCUUAGCAAGCACCGGCUAACUCUGUGCCAGCAGCCGCGGUAAGACAGAGGGUGCAAACGUUGUUCGGAAUUACUGGGCGUAAAGCGAGUGUAGGCGGUUUCCUAAGUCAGGUGUGAAAGCCCCGGGCUCAACCCGGGAAGUGCACUUGAAACUGGGAGGCUAGAGUACUGGAGAGGUUGGUGGAAUUCUCGGUGUAGAGGUGAAAUUCGUAGAUAGCGAGAGGAACACCGGUGGCGAAGGCGGCCAACUGGACAGAUACUGACGCUGAGACUCGAAAGCGUGGGGAGCAAACA
rnacentral:rRNA from 1 species